GGGAACUGUAGGAGAAUACUUGGGAAAUUAGUGCUCUAGAAACAAGCCUGGGGAAAGAACGGGAAGGCCUCUGCCUCUGCCUUUCCUAGUUCAUUAUCCUCAGCCUGGGUCUGCCUGCCAUGAGGAUCCUACAUUCAAUAUUGGGGAUUCAGAGCGUCUGGAUGGAGCCAGCCUGUCCAACAGAGGGGCAGCCAGGACAUCUCUGCCCUCUUCUCAUCCCCCAGCCACAGUGGCCAAAGAGGCCCCCACUAGGCACUGUGGCUCUGCAUGACAAACACACAUCCAGCCCAGGACUCUAAGCCUCUCACCUGGACUCCAGUAAAAACCUUGCUGAGCCUCCUUGUCUAUCCUUCCUCCCCCACCCACCAUUGUAAAGUUUAUGUCACCAGAAUAUUUCUUUC
rnacentral:lncRNA from 1 species